UUUGGAUUUUGGCGGGAACAUUUAGGUUUAGGUCUAGGUGCUUGGCUAUGGCGGUUCAUUGGCGAUCUCGUUUCUCAGGUGUGUGAUCCUUCUCGGCGAUCUAUUCGAGAAGAAGCGCUUCUACGUGGUGCCUUGCUUGUGAAUGGAUGUUUGCAUUUCCAGCAUUUGUUUUGUAGAGCUGCUUGCUUCAUCCGGUGGAUGAGAAGUCCCCAUCAGCUUGAUCUAUUGGAGGAUAAGGAAAUUUUGUGGAGCAAGUAGGAAAAGUUUCCGGAUGGUUUGUUUUCCAGUCAGCGUCAACUGAAUGCUGGAUCAUUCUGGAUUUUGAGUUUAAACUUAAAACUUAGAUCAGGGAGUUGUUCCAGGAUCCGGCAGCGAAGAUGUAGCAGUUGUAUUGGAUAAUUUGAUCUAUUGGAGGCUUUCCAACUGGAGAAGUUAAGACUUUGGACGAUAUGUCUGAGUUCCAGGACCAUGAUCCGGGAGCGAAGAUAGUAGUAUUGCGCAGUUCAAUCUUAAGUUUGUGCGUCGAGCUUCGUUCAAUGGGGAGCUCUUCGCGGCACAUAUUUUUUCCCUUUGCCUGGAUGAACACUACAGGCAAGAAGAUAGGGACAUUUGAAAACGCAACGCAAGCACCGUAACGUAACUAUGCUCUUUCCGAGCAAAGUUUGUUCGUGCUUCCAAGGCCUGCGCAAUGGCAUCUUCCGCUGCCAAGGCUACAAAAGCUUUUCCCGGUGCCAGCGGAAUUGAACGAGUCUGAAUAUGCUAGAGGUACGUUACUUUUUUACAUCUCUUCACAAUAGACUCGGUCAGUUCUUCAUUUUUGUUUCUUUCGUUUCUCUUUUGAAACAUCUUCUCCGCUCGGAGGUACCACCUGUAGGCAAUGAUGGUGUUGAUAUGAACCCCGAAUGCGUGAAUGCUAAAGUUCUAGUGAUGUGUCUAUCUUAGCUGGCUGCAGGGCUGAAUUCAUGAGCGUUCGGUAUCUGUGACACCCCCAAGUACGCAAGAGCUCGCGAAGGUUUGUCAACGAGAGAAAUAUCCCUGUUGCCUGAAUAUUUUUUGAAUUUCUCUGGGGGAGCUAGCUUGUUUGGUCGGCUGUGCAGCUCGUCGUAAGCAUUGCGAUUGUAGAACACUGGAGGCUUGUAUCGAUGCCUUUAACUUGUGACGGUACCGUUCUUUCGAUAUUGUUUAAGUUGAUAUCCUUACGGGUCUUUGAAUUUGUUCUUGGCGAGAGCUCAAACGACGUCUUCAUUUCGACAACCACGCAAGUACAGUAUCUACAGCGGGUGUCCGAAAACAACGGAGCAAUGAGCAACAAAGACAGAUGAGUCUACUUGCAGUGUCUUCCUAAAUUCUUUCCUUCCCAGGUGAGGCUAGGCAGCAACAAGGCGUGAAGGGGAAAUGGUCCUCCUAAGACAGCUGAGUUUGUAUUUAACUCUUUGGCGGGACUGCGGACUGGAGGGAUUUACAAGCAGGACUAUAGCGUGCAUUGUACAGCAACAUGUGGAGGAUGACGAGACGACUGAGAGCGUUGAUACAACUUUAGGAGACGGAGGAUUUGGAACUUUGGCGUUGUAGAAGGCUGUUCGCGAAUGAUGCUGUCAAGUGCAUGGUGUGCCCAAGUUUACGCGAAUUGAGCAAGAGGGAGUGAUACGGAAGGUGACAUCGAGCUCGACGGGUGUCGUGCCAUUCAAGGGGGAAAGCGAGCACAAGCAAGUUGCAAGAAUGUCGCUCACAUCGUGACAGCAGUCGCCAGGCUGAGCUCCUGGCAAGAGGCAAGCGAGAGCCGAUAGCAAAUUGCAAUUGCGUCCUGGUGCUGGUGGUGGUGGUAGUGCUGCUGGAGGCGGAAGAAACUGAGCUCGACAAACAGCCAUCAGAGUGACUGUCAGCAAAGCAAGCACGCAACUCCUCUUGCCACCAAACAAACGAUAUUCCGUUGAAUCCAUCAUCUUUCGCUCGGGAACGAUAACAUGGUUGUAAUUCAGCACGAGCAGGCUCUCCAGCAGAGAGAAAGAAGAAAAAGAAAAUGGAAAUGCUGUUUCUUAAGGAAGGGUGUGAAGAAACUUGCAACAAAGCAUUGAUGAGAACGCCUGGAGAGAUUCUCUUUACGGCCAAGCCAAGCGCCUCUGUGCUGUUUGCGACGUCGCCUAUUUGUUUUUGCCUUUCCCUCUGCCCCCAGUGUGAUGGAUGAGAGAGACCAGACCAGCUUUAAAACUAUUUGGAAACAGCCAGCCAGGACCCAGGACGGACUUCUCGCUCAGGAGGUGAAAGAGAGGAGCGAUUCAAGCUCCAUUUAAAAGGCCUCCUUUUGUGUGAGUGAGUGUUUUUCCUUUGUUUUUUUAUUUCUAACAUGCGAGGCCCACCUUGCUUGUAUUCAAUGCAUGCAGUUGCGUGGAGAAAGCUAGAAAUUUUUUUACAUUUUUUUCUGGGGGUUUAGGUGUUGUUUUUGGAUAGUUUAUGCAAAGAUGGGCGUCAAGUUAAACAAGUCGCUCACUCCAUGUGGUGUGUUUGAGAGGAAAAUCACUUUGGCCACCUUUACCUUAGCUGGGGCUCUCACAUUCACCACCACCUUUGACUUUGCCCGAGAAAUAAUCUAGACAAAGGAAUUCCAGUUCGAUUC